GACGAACCGAGCGAACGUUGUUCGGAAUCACUGGGCUUAAAGGGCGCGUAGGCGGGUGCUCAAGUCCGGGGUGAAAUCCUCCAGCUCAACUGGAGAACUGCCUCGGAUACUGGGUGCCUCGAGGGUGGUAGGGGUAUGCGGAACUAUCGGUGGAGCGGUGAAAUGCGUUGAUAUCGAUAGGAACACCUGAGGUGAAGACGGGUUGCUGGGCCGACACUGACGCUGAUGCGCGAAAGCCAGGGGAGCAAACGGG
rnacentral:rRNA from 1 species